CAUCCACACCGUGGGGCCCAUUGCCCAGGGAGAGCCCAGCGCCAGCCAAGAAGAGGAGCUCGGCAACUGCUACAAAAACAGCCUGAAGCUCGCCGUGGAGAACAAGCUGCGGACCGUGGCCUUCCCAUGCAUUUCGACAGGUGUAUUUGGAUACCCAAAUGAUGCCGCUGCCGACGUUGUCCUCAACACACUGCACAAGUGGCUAGAAGACAAUAAGGAGAAGGUAGAGCG